UUGAAUAAUGAGCGGGGAGCCGUAACGAUGAUACGCGCGGGCUACUCCCGCGCAUCGCAUAGCGUCCUCUUUCGCUUUCUCUUUCCUUCUCUCUCUCUUUCUCUCUCUCUCUCUCUCUCUUUUUCUCUCUCUUGCCUCUUGCCUCUUGCCUCUUGCAGAGAGGGAGAGAGAGAGAGAGAGAGAGAGAGAGAGAGAGAGAGAGAAAGAGAGUACUGACUCGUUUCGCGCUGGAAAAUCCAAGGUAGGGUCGUUAUAUAAGUCAGUCUAGCCCGACUCAUUAACUAGUCCACCAAAAGCCAUUUAUCAUUCGAGAAUCCUGCCGGGGUUGUACGGACCAACUACGAUACGUUAUAGCUACCACUUUGCGUAUUGUGCAAAAACGAGCUUUGAAAAUAUACGUUUUGCCUUUCUUAACCACUCGAUUUGUGAAGGUGCGAGCGUGCAUGUUCGUCUGCGAAAGAUUCGAGAAGCCAACCAACCGUCCAGCUAUUGAAACUCGGUGCUUUUCUUGAUUCGGUCUACCUUAUCUAUAUGUAAAUACUUGUAGCGCCGUCAUGUUGGGAUUUCAACAACUAAUAAAAUUGUAUGAGAUUCUUUUACGAUCGGCUUCUAUCUUAGCGCGCAUUAAAUUUGUUACAAGGACGUUCUAAUAAAAUCAUAAAAUAGCACAAGGAACGUGAUAUUCUACUUUUUAGUGAGAAAUUAAUAAGCCCAAAGUAAAACGUUUUAAAAGAAGAAGAAGAAAAAGAAGAGGGAGAGAGAAAGAGAGAGAGAGAGAGAGAGAGAAAAGAUUCUAAAUGGUGUCCUGAAGUCCCGAAUGUGGUGUUUGUAAUGUCGAGAACUUGCCAAGGUGUAGGAAGCCGUUCGAUGAACGAAGCAAGUUGAAAUGAGAGAAGGGGAACACACAAUGGAUUCGCGCCUUCCUAAUCCUACGGAAUCUCUGAGCCAUAUGUAAGGAUUACGUUGGUCCGACUCAACAUGGUCGCGUUGUCGUGUUAAAGCCGCGGACCAACCAUUAGCCAGUGGCGCUUCACGAGCUGUUCGGUCCACACGAGCUUAGAGACGCUAUCAGCAAUGGCUUAGUUGGCCUUCUUUCUAUCUUAUCCUGUGAUCCGAGUCUAGGUGGAUGCCCAUCUCUCUCUCUCUCUCUCUCUCUCUCUCUCUCUCUCUCCCUCUCUCUCUCUCUCUCUAUAGUUGCGACGCAUACGCUCCUUCUCGCCACAUUCAAGAGGUGUUACGAGCCGAUAGUUAUCUUCAUAUCGCGAACCCGAAGGCGAUUGGACGCAUUCUGUCUCAGACGAGGGGGCCAAGAUGCUGAGAUCUAAGAUAUGAAUGAUUUUGUGUCAAUAAUGGGAAUUACAACAUCGCGUUUUGUUCGUUCGUCAUUGAAAGAUUAAAAGAAAUCGAUCGAUUGAGUCUUCAGUGGUUUUGAUAUUAAGUUAGCCACGUGAUGAAGGAAGAACGUUUGAUGGAAGAAAGGAACGCAAAGAGGUCACGUCCUUAAACCUAUAAUCACUCAAUCCUGUACGACGGCCAUAAUAGAUGCCUUUCCAGUAAGCUACGAUCUAUCAUCGACUUCGCGACCGUAGACUCGGCUGUCUUGAUCGCUGAAGGACAGUUUGGCAGUGGUUCCAAAUGCGGAUAACCGUGGAGAUCCGGAGCGUCAGAAAGCAGAGGAGCCAUAUGAACGUCGUGGCUUUAGAAAUUACCAUCUGUAGUCGAUUUUCGAAGAUAGAAUGUCUAAAAUGACUAUCGUAAAUAUUUCCGUUUCCGUUCAUACGAAUUAUAAGAGGCUAUAAUAGUUCUAUUUUCAUUUACCUAUUUGUACCUCUGAAGACAGACAUAGAGUAUUGAUUAUAAUUUUUAUAUCUAAUUCUCAUUAAUUUAAUAACAGUCUUUAGUUAAAAUAGAUACGAUUCGACACACAUUAGAAAUUAAAAAUAAAUUUUAAACAUUGUUGUUAAUAUACCAACUAUGUUAUUUUAGAAAUAUAAGUCUUAUUUAAUCAUUAAAUUUUUUAUUGCAGUAAUAUAUCCAAUAUUUAUUAUUGCAUUAAUAGUUCGUUAAUAGUAACAAAUCUUUUUUUAAUUCUAAGAAAAUAUUUUUAUAUGGAAUCGAUUUUUUUUUUUUUUUAAAUUGUCCAAGAUAAUAAUCGACUUCACACAUAUAGUUUAUACAAAAAUCCAAAGUGUCGUAAUUUAUUAUUAAUACGAAUUCACGAAUUCAUUUCGAGAGGAACGUUAAGAUAUUUUCCUUUUUGUUAUUACUUUUUUUUUCUUUUUCCUUUUUUUUUUUUUCUAAUAAAAAAUCUGUCGUGAAAUACAAUAAUCUGAAAUCCGUAUUGAUCUUAAUCGGCUUUAAAGGACGACACGUCUACUUUUUCGAUAAAGGAUAUAAACACAUUGGCCGCGCGUAAUAAAUGCCAGAUUUAUGGCGGCAAACGAAGCGACAGCGUCGUAGCGUCGAGCGGGGAAAGAAAUAUUACACGUCGCUCUUUUCACGCGACGACGGCUGAGAGCUGUCGCGCGACGAGUACCCAUGACUGCUGCGCUCGUAAAGCUCGUGAACAUCGCUAAAGCCGCACGUUCACGCCGAAGCUCUUUUCUCGCCUCUCUUUCUCCUCCGACUUUUCUAACUUUUCUCUCCUUUUUUUGCAAUCUUCGUGCCACUGUUUUACGGUCAACAAUCUCCCGACAAUGCCAUUGUAGACAUUCGCUUCGAAACAACCUCCUUAACCUCCUAUAAAGAACGAGGAUAAUAGCCUGUGAUUCUUCAGAAAGAGCAUCCUUUUGCUAACAGACCUUUUAUUAAAGGCGUGGUCGAGGCUAAACGAUCCUCGUAUUCGUCGUUAGUUCGAAGAGUGCGAAUUGACAUAAUAGCAGCGGCAUGCCGAAAGCUAAGCCGAACAGUGGUAGCAGUAGUAGCAGUAACAGCAGGAGUGCGAGAGCUUCAAGCUCUCGCCGCACCACGAUUCUGCGGUGCGGCGCAGAAGCACUUUUUUCGAAGGGCGUUGGAGUAUAUGGCGGACGUCGUCUCGGGAAAAGAGGGCGCCAGUUGGCGAUGAGAGAGGGAAAAAGAGAGAGAGGAAGAGAGAAGGAGAUAGAAGGCGCGAGUACAUCGGCCACCGACGUAAUAUCGGCAAACGACGCUACAUGCCGGCCAAAUAUAACGGUAUAACUUUGCCAAAUGAUACCAUUCCUUUAAUUCUUUGGAACGACCUGUCCGGACGUUUUCCCGACGAUAUAUUAAUAACGUCAACUUCGCUCGCCGUUACCUUAUUAUACUUCCUUUCAAAUUAUCUUUAGCGAAUAAAAUGUAAUCAUUGUUGUUUUAUUCGAUCAUUGUAAAAAUUCGAUUAAAGUUUUGUCUUAUUUCGUGAAU